GUCUCCAUCUGGUUUGAAGGCUAUUUUGAUCCACCGGAUGCAGAUUAGCUGCUGCGAUCUGGGGCUAAGCGGUUGGAGAGACGCCUUUAUCUAUAGGAGAACAAUUUAAAACUAACUCAAAGCACAGAGAACAAAUAAAUAAAUUCCUCUCUCUGUUCCAAGCACUCUCCAUCCUGUUUCUACAGGUAAUUGCAAAGGGAUUUUUUUUUUUUUUUUUUGCUUCAAACAGACUCUCGUUUGCAUGGAGCGUGGGGUACUUCAGAGUGGACUGGAGACCGGCCGACUUCUUGCCCAGAACACCAGGCCACCUGCUGAAGGACCUGGGCCUUCUUUCCCACAGGUGCCUGUCUGUGGACAGGGCUGGUGCUGGUCUCUAGUUGUGUGGAAGGGUGCGGAAUCCCUUCUUGCAGGAUGCCUUCGUUGCAAGCACGAAGGAGGGGCUGGCGGUGCCUGGUGACUCUCAGUCCCUGCUGUCUCCUGGGAACAGGUUUCAAACUGUCCUGGGGAUCAUUAAGGAGGAAAUCCAGGACCUCCUGAAGGGCAGGAGGACUCCAGGGAGCUGUUAGGAUGCAAGAGUCCUCUGCUGGAAGGCUGGAGAUGAAGUGAGAUAUGGCACCACUGGCUGAGUUUGAUUUUGAAUUCAUACCCAGUGUUGGUCCUGCGGAGGAAUUGUCAGGACGGAAGGUCCAUCUCCAUCCUCACGUUUUUGUCCUCUCCCUGGUGACUCUUCACUGAGUGUCAACCAAUGUGUGACCUCAGAGGGGGUUUCUCCAGCACACAUCUGCUCAGGAGGCUCUCCUCCAAGGAGGCGGAACCAUGCAGUAAGAGCCUUGUGACAUUUUUAUCAGCAAAGACUGAGUCUAGCACCGGCUUUGUCCUCGGCGGCCUGCAUGACUCUGGACGUGGUCUUUUCGCUCUGCAGAAUGGAUGAUAGCUAAGCUGCUCUGCCUUUCCCAGCCUGGGUGCCUGUGGACAGGGCCUGGAACUUUCUUCCUUGCUUCCUCAGCCAGCAGACUUGCCACCCCUCGGGUUGUUCUUCCACAACUCUGCACUGUGUCUUAGCCAGUCUAGCCCUACCCUGGUGAUCCCACCUCACCCUUCCUCUAUGAUGGCUACUCCUGCAUGGGCCUGGCACCUUGGGGAUGUCAGCACCCUGCUCACCAUGUCCCUGAACCCUCCCUGUCCACCUUCCCCUGGGUCACUGUGUCAUGUCAGCUGGCCCCCUCUGGACAUCCUCUCUCCACCACCCAGAGUGAGUUUUCUGAAUGAAAAACCUGACCAUGUGACUCCCUGGCUUAAAAUCCUUAAGCUUAGUAUUAUCCUUUCGUUCAGCAACAGUAUUUGCUAAGACCCACUGUGCGCCAUGUGCUCUGGGCACACACAUAAGGUCCUGGGCUUCCUGGCCCUGCCCCCAGCCCUCGACCCCUCCCUGAGUGCCUGACAUGAGGACCAUUUGCAGCUCCCCAAGAAUGCCAAGUUGCUCAGCCCUUCCUGUGACGCCCUCCUCCUCCCCUUGCCCCUCCAGCCCCUCUGGACUUCAUUAACUCAUCUUACACUCUGUUUUGAUGUCAUUUCCCCCACCUAGAAACCUACAGGGAGGGCCCCUCAGGCUUGUGUGAGUGUGGCCCCCGGCUUCUGCAGCAUCCCCCACCCCCACUGCACUUAUCCUCUGUAAUCUACACUGGUGGUGCACCAGGCUCCCCUGCCUCUGUGAGCUGGGCCCCAGCACACACCUCCCCUCCCCAACAUCUUGUGCUGUAGACUAUGGAUGUGUCCCUUCCCAAGUUCAUACAAUGAAUCCUAACCCCCAAGGUGACAGUAUGAGGAGGUGGGGCCCUUGGGCAGUGAUUAAGUCAUAAGGGCUUUGCAAUCAGUGCCCUUAUCAAAGGAGCUUAGGGGAGGCUGUGGUUUGCCUCUUCCUCCAGGCAAGGACACAGUGAGAAGGUGCCAUCAGUGAACCUGAAAGUGACAUGGAAUUUGCUGGUGCUUUGAUCUUGGACUUCUCAGCCUCCAGACUUUUUACUUCCUGGCCAUGAGGGAAGAGGCUUUGCUCUACCACACACUCCUGUCAGAAGACGCUGCCUCAACACAGGCUCAAAAGCAGCAGUGCCAACAACCAUGGACAGCAAC